GGUGAGAUGGCUCAGUGGUUAAGAGCACUGACUGUUCUUCCGAAGGUCCUAAGUUCAAAUCUCAGUAACCA
rnacentral:tRNA from 1 species